rnacentral:rRNA from 1 species
UAGGGAAUCUUCCGCAAUGGACGCAAGUCUGACGGAGCAACGCCGCGUGAGUGAAGAAGGAUUUCGGUUCGUAAAACUCUGUUGUUAGAGAAGAACAGCGCAUAGAGUAACUGUUAUGCGUGUGACGGUAUCUAACCAGAAAGCCACGGCUAACUACGUGCCAGCAGCCGCGGUAAUACGUAGGUGGCAAGCGAUGUCCGGAUUUAUUGGGCGUAAAGCGAGCGCAGGCGGUCAAUUAAGUCUGAUGUGAAAGCCCCCGGCUCAACCGGGGAGGGUCAUUGGAAACUGGUUGACUUGAGUGCAGAAGAGGAGAGUGGAAUUCCAUGUGUAGCGGUGAAAUGCGUAGAUAUAUGGAGGAACACCAGUGGCGAAGGCGGCUCUCUGGUCUGUAACUGACGCUGAGGCUCGAAAGCGUGGGGAGCGAACAGG